rnacentral:rRNA from 1 species
AUACGGAGGGUGCAAGCGUUACUCGGAAUCACUGGGCGUAAAGCGCGCGCAGGCGGUCUUUUAAGUUGGAUGUGAAAGCCUACGGCUCAACCGUAGAACUGCAUCCAAAACUAUUAGACUAGAGUGUGGGAGAGGAAGAUGGAAUUAGUUGUGUAGGGGUAAAAUCCGUAGAGAUAACUAGGAAUACCAAAAGCGGAGGCAAUCUUCUGGAACACUACUGACGCUGAGGCGCGAAAGCGUGGGGAGCAAACAGGAUUAGAUACCCUAGUAGUCC